rnacentral:rRNA from 2 species
GUUAAUUGAUUAUGACGUACUUGUACUGAUUGAGAUUUUAACACGAAGUGAGUGGCGAACGGGUGAGUAACACGUGGGUAACCUGCCCAGAAGUAGGGGAUAACACCUGGAAACAGAUGCUAAUACCGUAUAACAGAGAAAACCGCAUGGUUUUCUUUUAAAAGAUGGCUCUGCUAUCACUUCUGGAUGGACCCGCGGCGUAUUAGCUAGUUGGUGAGGUAAAGGCUCACCAAGGCAGUGAUACGUAGCCGACCUGAGAGGGUAAUCGGCCACAUUGGGACUGAGACACGGCCCAGACUCCUACGGGAGGCAGCAGUAGGGAAUCUUCCACAAUGGACGCAAGUCUGAUGGAGCAACGCCGCGUGAGUGAAGAAGGGUUUCGGCUCGUAAAGCUCUGUUGUUAAAGAAGAACGUGGGUAAGAGUAACUGUUUACCCAGUGACGGUAUUUAACCAGAAAGCCACGGCUAACUACGUGCCAGCAGCCGCGGUAAUACGUAGGUGGCAAGCGUUAUCCGGAUUUAUUGGGCGUAAAGCGAGCGCAGGCGGUCUUUUAAGUCUAAUGUGAAAGCCUUCGGCUCAACCGAAGAAGUGCAUUGGAAACUGGGAGACUUGAGUGCAGAAGAGGACAGUGGAACUCCAUGUGUAGCGGUGAAAUGCGUAGAUAUAUGGAAGAACACCAGUGGCGAAGGCGGCUGUCUGGUCUGCAACUGACGCUGAGGCUCGAAAGCAUGGGUAGCGAACAGGAUUAGAUACCCUGGUAGUCCAUGCCGUAAACGAUGAUUACUAAGUGUUGGAGGGUUUCCGCCCUUCAGUGCUGCAGCUAACGCAUUAAGUAAUCCGCCUGGGGAGUACGACCGCAAGGUUGAAACUCAAAAGAAUUGACGGGGGCCCGCACAAGCGGUGGAGCAUGUGGUUUAAUUCGAAGCUACGCGAAGAACCUUACCAGGUCUUGACAUCUUCUGACAG